GGUUUCAAGUGAGGAUUCCCCAGAAAGCUUGGCUCUGUCUCACACAAUCACCAUCAGAGUCCUCCCAUUGUCUCCAGGGGUCCCACAGCCUUCUCAAGACUGCAGCAUGCUGAUCACAGCCCUUAGUGACAGUGUCACAGAGAUCCUGCCCUCUGCACUCUUCUUCAUAAACUCAGAUGUUCCCUUUGAAAAACUGAUCUACAGCAUCACCAAGCCUCUAGCACAAGAACAAGGUACCAUUGAACAUAAAGAUAAACCCUAUAUCCCCGUGUACACUUUCAC